UGCAGUCGAACGGAAAGGCCCUUCGGGGUACUCGAGUGGCGAACGGGUGAGUAACACGUGGGUGAUCUGCCCUGCACUUCGGGAUAAGCCUGGGAAACUGGGUCUAAUACCGGAUACACCUCAUGGACUGCAUGGUCUGUGGGGGAAAGCUUUUGCGGUGUGGGAUGGGCCCGCGGCCUAUCAGCUUGUUGGUGGGGUGAUGGCCUACCAAGGCGACGACGGGUAGCCGGCCUGAGAGGGUGACCGGCCACACUGGGACUGAGAUACGGCCCAGACUCCUACGGGAGGCAGCAGUGGGGAAUAUUGCACAAUGGGCGCAAGCCUGAUGCAGCGACGCCGCGUGGGGGAUGACGGCCUUCGGGUUGUAAACCCCUUUCAGCACAGACGAAGCGCAAGUGACGGUAUGUGCAGAAGAAGGACCGGCCAACUACGUGCCAGCAGCCGCGGUAAUACGUAGGGUCCGAGCGUUGUCCGGAAUUACUGGGCGUAAAGAGCUCGUAGGUGGUUUGUCACGUUGUUCGUGAAAACCCACAGCUCAACUGUGGGCGUGCGAGCGAUACGGGCAGACUAGAGUACUGCAGGGGAGACUGGAAUUCCUGGUGUAGCGGUGGAAUGCGCAGAUAUCAGGAGGAACACCGGUGGCGAAGGCGGGUCUCUGGGCAGUAACUGACGCUGAGGAGCGAAAGCGUGGGGAGCGAACAGGAUUAGAUACCCUGGUAGUCCACGCCGUAAACGGUGGGUACUAGGUGUGGGUUUCCUUCCUUGGGAUCCGUGCCGUAGCUAACGCAUUAAGUACCCCGCCUGGGGAGUACGGCCGCAAGGCUAAAACUCAAAGAAAUUGACGGGGGCCCGCACAAGCGGCGGAGCAUGUGGAUUAAUUCGAUGCAACGCGAAGAACCUUACCUGGGUUUGACAUGCACAGGACGCUGGUAGAGAUAUCAGUUCCCUUGUGGCCUGUGUGCAGGUGGUGCAUGGCUGUCGUCAGCUCGUGUCGUGAGAUGUUGGGUUAAGUCCCGCAACGAGCGCAACCCCUAUCUUAUGUUGCCAGCGCGUUAUGGCGGGGACUCGUAAGAGACUG
rnacentral:rRNA from 1 species